rnacentral:misc_RNA from 1 species
GAUGAAGAACGCAGCUAAAUGCGAUAAGUAGUGUGAAUUGCAGAAUUCAGUGAAUCAUCGAAUCUUUGAACGCACAUUGCGCCCCUUGGUAUUCCAUGGGGCAUGCCUGUUCGAGCGUCAUUUGUACCUUCAAGCUUUGCUUGGUGUUGGGUGUUUGUCCUGAGGGACUCGCCUUAAAGUAAUUGGCAGCCAGUGUUUGGUUUUGAAGCGCAGCACAAGUCGCGAUUCAAGGCUAUACACCAGCUUCCACAAGCCUUUUUCACUUUUGACCUCGGAUCAGGUAGGGAUACCCGCUGAACUUAAGCAUAUCAAUAAGCGGAGGA